rnacentral:rRNA from 1 species
GAUGAACGCUGGCGGCGUGCUUAAUACAUGCAAGUCGAGCGAGGACCACCCGGUGGCAACACCGGGUGACUCCUAGCGGCGAACGGGUGAGUAACACGUGGGCAACCUGCCCCCGACUCUGGGAUAAGCCCGGGAAACUGGGUCUAAUACCGGAUACGAGCCUCCACCGCAUGGCGGAGGUUGGAAAGGGUCUCCGGUCGGGGAUGGGCCCGCGGCCUAUCAGCUUGUUGGUGGGGUAACGGCCCACCAAGGCGACGACGGGUAGCCGGCCUGAGAGGGUGAACGGCCACACUGGGACUGAGACACGGCCCAGACUCCUACGGGAGGCAGCAGUGGGGAAUAUUGCACAAUGGGCGCAAGCCUGAUGCAGCGACGCCGCGUGAGGGAUGACGGCCUUCGGGUUGUAAACCUCUUUCAGCACAGACGAAGCGCAAGUGACGGUAUGUGCAGAAGAAGCACCGGCCAACUACGUGCCAGCAGCCGCAGUAAAAC